GGUAUGUAAACUUCUAUCAGCAGGGAAGAAAAUGACGGUACCUGACUAAGAAGCCCCGGUUAACUACGUGCCAGCAGCCGCGGUAAUACGUAGGGGGCAAGCGUUAUCCGGAUUUACUGGGUGUAAAGGGAGCGUAGACGGCACGGCAAGCCAGAUGUGAAAGCCCGGGGCUCAACCCCGGGACUGCAUUUGGAACUGCUGAGCUAGAGUGUCGGAGAGGCAAGUGGAAUUCCUAGUGUAGCGGUGAAAUGCGUAGAUAUUAGGAGGAACACCAGUGGCGAAGGCGGCUUGCUGGACGAUGACUGACGUUGAGGCUCGAAAGCGUGGGGAGCAAACAGGAUUAGAUACCCUGGUAGUCCACGCCGUAAACGAUGACUGCUAGGUGUCGGUGGCAAAGCCAUUCGGUGCCGCAGCUAACGCAAUAAGCAGUCCACCUGGGGAGUA
rnacentral:rRNA from 1 species